AUUGAACGCUGGCGGCAGGCCUAACACAUGCAAGUCGAACGAGUGGCGGACGGGUGAGUAAUGUCUGGGAAUCUGCCUUAUGGAGGGGGAUAACUACUGGAAACUGUAGCUAAUACCGCAUACCAUCAGAUGUGCCCAGUGGGGAUUAGCUGGUUGGUGAGGUAAAGGCUCACCAAGGCGACGAUCCCUAGCUGGUCUGAGAGGAUGACCAGCCACACUGGAACUGAGACACGGUCCAGACUCCUACGGGAGGCAGCAGUGGGGAAUAUUGCACAAUGGGCGCAACCCUGACGCAGCCAUGCCGCGUGUAUGAAGAAGGCCUGCGGGUUGUAAAGUACUUUCAGUGGGGAGGCGUUAACGACAGAAGAAGCACCGGCUAACUCCGUGCCAGCAGCCGCGGUAAUAC
rnacentral:rRNA from 1 species